rnacentral:rRNA from 1 species
GAUGAACGCUAGCUACAGGCUUAACACAUGCCAGUCGAGGGGAAACGAUGAGAGAGCUUGCUCUCUUAGGGGUCGACCGGCGCACGUGUGAGUAACGUGUAUCCAACCUACCCAUUACAGGGCGAUAACCUUGCGAAAGUAAUACUAAUACCCCAUGCCAUCUUAUGGUGGCGUCAUUAUAGGAUUAAAGAUUUAGUGGUAAUGGAUGGGGAUGCGUCUGAUUAGCUUGUUGGUUGGGUAACGGUCGGCCAAGGCAACGCUCAGUAUGGGUUCUUCGAGGGGCGUGCCUCAGAUUGGAACUGGGACCAGGUGGAAAGUGCUACGGGAGGCAGUAGUGAGGAAUAUUGGUGAGUGGGCGAGAGCUUGAACCAGCGAAGUAGCGUGCAGGAUGACGGCCCUAUGGAUUGUAAACUGCUUUUAUAAGGGAAUAAAGUCAGCUAAGUGUAGUUUAUUGAAUGUAACCUAUAAAUAAGGACCGGCUAAUUACGUG